AAGACUAUACUUUCAGGGAUCAUUUCUAUAGUUUGCUAUUAGAAUUGUUAUGCCUUCUUGAAGAAUUGAGCCUUAGGC
rnacentral:snoRNA from 1 species